UUUCAUUUCAGGUUCUUUCUGAGACAUGUUUUCAUGGUGUGGGAAUAAGACUUGGUGGUCUUAUACAGCUAAUACAAAGGUUAGCAUCACAGCUUGUCUGUAAGGAUUGAAGCUGGGAGUGGGCAUUGGAGCUGACUUUUAUGAUAACUGUGGCUGCAUAAAAUGGUUGUGUGAUAUAACUGCAACAGUAAAGAAUGUAAUUCAGACUAUUUUUGUGUAUGCUUGAGAAAAUGUUUAUAAUUUUUUUACAAAAAAAAAAAAAAAUAUGUAAAGAUUCUCCAUUUUCAACAAGAUUGGAAGUUGUAGGUUAACUUGUAUUUGACAUUACAAAAAUUCUUUCUAUUUUCCGUUUAUACUCAUGUCUAGUCAAAACACUUCCAGCAGUUUAAGAAUGGAUAAUCUAAAAGAAAAAGAAAGAAAAAAGAAAAAAAAAAUGUUCAAUUAUUGAAAUGUAUUUUUUUUUUUUGGCAAAUUGUAAUGUAUAUAUUUUUGCCAUCUUUUUGUUAUUUUAGGAUUUGAGAUACUUUCAAAUUUUACAAGUUACUUUAUACAUGUAGUUAAUGCAAUUAAAUCUGCCGAUGUGAAUAUUCCCACUUAAUUUCUUAGCAAAAAUUUUAAUUAUUUUUGUUUUUUUUAGCAACGUUUCAAAAUACCUUACCAUAGCAAAUGCCUCUCUAGUGUAAACUAAAAAGAUGAAUAAUGGUCUGCAAUAAAUAUAUCCCCUAACAACCUUUUCUUUCAUGUUAAUUUUAAUAUCUUUAAGAUAUGUGACAAGGGUGCUCUAAUGCAGAGGAAUUUACGAAGUUAAAAAGUUAGAAAUAUAUUUUUUGCACUUUUUUUGUCAUUUUUAGCUGAUUUUGGUUUGUAACCAAGGUGAUAUUUUUUAAAGAAUAAUUUUACAAAAGGCAUAGUUGAAGAACAUCUUGUUGAAAUUGGAUUGGUUGAUUUUUGGUGUUAAACACCACUUUAACAUGAUUUACUAUAAUUUUGGCUGUAAAUUUUUAUUUGUGGAGACAGCCAGAGUGCCUGGCGAAAACAUCACCUUCAUCAGGGAAACGGUCAAACCCUAGUCAAAUUAAGAAUGAAGUUACAUAUUUCAUGUGAGGGUUCUCAGUGUUGACAGGCUAGUGAUACAGUAGUUGAACUACUUAUAG